ensembl:lncRNA
AGAACAUCCUCUUGAGAAGUCUUUGGAAAGUUCCUUCAUAUCCCAAUCAGUUUCAGGCUAUAAUGUGUGUGUAUUCAUAUCUUUCUGUUGUAUUCAGCAUGUGGAGUUAAGUACAUUAAAUAAACAUAUAUAUAUAUAUAUAUAUAUAUAUAUGGUGCAUAUACAAAUAUAUGUAUGUAUAUAUAUAUAUAUAUAUACUUUUUUUUAAGAUGUUACUGAGAAUAACAAAUCACGUGAAAAAAGGAGGAGAGUUUCUUUUGGAGCCCCUCUGAGACCCGAAUUAUUUGAUGGAAAUUUACCUCCCAAUACACCUCUUGAAAAAGGAGAAAGCCCAGAGACGAGCAAAACAGCAUCCACAACCUGGGUCCCGAGAAAGUCAAUAAUGAAGCAGACGCAUUCUAAACCACCAGAAAAAGAGCCUUCCCCCAGUGUAGUGGAAGGGAUACCGCCAUGUACAAAAGACCCACACCAACAGCUUCCUGCCAUUCCUAAUAAGAAGUCUGCACCGAGCAGGGAUAACAUCACCUUGUCAAAAUUCGUGGAGGAGAGAACAACAUCUAUUCCCGAAAUCCAGACCAUCCAGCCCCACAAGACCCUGAGCACACCAUCGGUCUGGAGGAGAUCCUCCUCUGCAAGAAGAAGCCAGGUUUUGGAUGCGCUACAGACGAUUGACUCCAACAGAGGAGCACCAAAAGACAAUCUCAUGGGUAUUUGAGCAGGGAAUCAUUUUCCGAUGGUUUUUACAGGCAGGGGGCAGGCAGUCCCCUGGCUUCAAAGAGCUUAAGACGUUCAGUCUACCAACAGAGGGAACAGAUGUAGGAGGAACAGUAAGAAGGCCAGUAUAUGGCUGGAUCAGACAGUGCAGAGCUGUGUGCGGGGCUUGAGGUAAAAGGUGUAAAUAAAACAAGGCUGGAAAAGCUAGUAAUCUCA